UACGGAGGGUGCUAGCGUUGUUCGGAAUUACUGGGCGUAAAGCGCGCGUAGGCGGUCUAGUAAGUUGGAAGUGAAAUCCCAGAGCUUAACUCUGGAAUUGCUUUCAAAACUGUUAGACUUGAGAAUGGUAGGGGAAAGUGGAAUUCCUAGUGUAGAGGUGAAAUUCGUAGAUAUUAGGAGGAACACCAGAGGCGAAAGCGGCUUUCUGGACCAUUUCUGACGCUAAGGCGCGAAAGCGUGGGGAGCAAACAGG
rnacentral:rRNA from 1 species